UUUCGUCCAAGUCCCCAAUUUAAUUAGGGUCCGUGAAUGCUUUGUUAUUUUCCAUUUAGGUUUGUUAUAGAUGUUUGAUUAUUCUCGUCUUUUGGAAGUUCCAAUAAUUUUAAUAAUUGUGUCUUCAAUUUCGGUUGGGUCCUUAUGCUUUUCAUGUUCUAUUUUAGAUUGUCGAAAAACUAUUCAGAUUCAAAUUUUUGUGUGUUUUUUCACAUGCAGUAAUUAAUUGGUCAUUUUAAACUUUUGGGAGAUUCAUCUUUUGAUCAACAAGAAGUUGUUAUAUGGAAUAAAUGUUUAAGAAAUCUUGCUGAAGGUAGUUCUGUAGUUUCGGUUGGGUCAUUAUGCUUUCCCUAUUCUAUUUUAGAUUGUUGGAAAACUUUUUAGAUUCAAAUUUUUUUUUGUGUUUUUUCACAUGAAUUAUAUUCAUUAGGUGAACAUUGAACAAGAUAUAAGAUAACCAAUAAAGUAAGAGUUGUGAGAGGUUUAUUGAUUUUGAUGAGAAAGACAACAACUUGUUUGAGCUCGAACGGAGCAGGGUAUUAUUGUGGAUUUCUGAAUUGCCGUUAAUGGAGUCUUGGAGUUGUGGAGAGUGAAGUGGAGAUGUCAAUCAAAUAGACUACAACAUAGUCUUAGCUUCUAUGUUAGAUGCUAAUAAAACUUAAGCUUAUAUAGUAUAGUACUUUUUUGUUGUUGUUCGGUACUUGCAUUAGAUUUCAACUUAAUUUAAUGUCAACUUCAUUUGGUUGGUCGAUUUCGCUAUGAAUUAUGUAAACUGAACAUCUUUAAUUAUUCAGUGCUAGAAUUUCUGUUUUUAUUGUUAGGUUUUGAUUUUUGGUACUGUGCCUUCUUCUUGAUAGUUGAUUUGAAAGAUGCAGAUGAAUUCAUUGUGCCUUUUCGCACCAGCAGUAGAGCAAUUUGAGAAGUAGUGAAAGUGUGAAGUUAAGGAUAUACAACUGCUCUACGAGAAUGUCAUCUACGGAUAAUGAUGUGAUAAUAUUUUGAAUCUCAUGUUGACUAGAAAGGUAAGAUCAAGAACAAUAAUUCAUUUUGAGAUUAACAAAUUGGCGUUUAGUGAACUACUUGUUAUUAUUUCUAAUGUUUCUAAGUUUUGUAGACAGUAAAAUUUUCUAAAUAAAUCAAAGUUACAUAAUCAAGGUGUUGGCACUACAUUAUAAGCUCUAAAUUUCUGUCUCCUAAAUCUCUGUAUCUUAUUUAUUUUACUUGAUAUAUGAUAUUGUGAUAUGCAAAUAGAUAUGUUAAUGAUAACUGAGACCUCAAUGAAAUGGGAGAGCUUCCAAUACUUUAUAUUUUUUUUGAUGCACCAAGAUAAUACCAACUUGUAUAGGAAAUUCAGUGGAGGUGUUGUUACAUAGUUGUUGUUCUUAUAGCAUAUUUGUUUUGAGCUGAAUUUCAGUUGUUUUGGUGGGAUAUUCUAUUAUUUUUAAGUCAUCUUCUAAGGAUAUGGUGUAGGGGGUGACUAUGAUUGUUGAAAGGGUUUAUUUUUCUUACCUAUUACUAAUAUUUCUCUACAGUUUAUAGUUAUGUCAAUAAGACUACAAGAUUUUUCCACUUCAAUAUCAAUAAUAUGCACCCACAAAUUAUAUCUAAUAUUAAAUCUCUAAAUAUGAUAAUAUCUUAUAUAAUCAUGUGAAACAAGGUUAGAGUAAAAGUGGCAACUUGAGAUUAUGUGACACUGCUUGUUGUAACACUCACUCUCUUCCUAAUUCAGUAGUGCACGAGUAGUGUAUUUUCUAAUGCUCCGAUAUGAGUUAAUAAUUAUGUAUGAUUUUUAACACUUAUAUCAGCUCUAAUCAUAUAUGCUUCUAAUUUGUAUGUAAAUAAUUAAAUGCAGCUCAUCUUGUGUAUUUCUCAAACCCUCCAUCUCUCACAAACAUUGAAUAAAUUCAAUAGUAAUUGAUUGGAGUAGCAACACAUUUUAGAAGUUGUUUCUAUAUUUGCAACUUAAAUUAGUACCUAUUGAUUAGUAUGCAGUAUAUAUAUUUAAAUAUUAAUUAGUAGUUCCAUGCAUACAGUAUCAGUGCACGGUUUUAUGGUGUGAUGUAAAUGGUUUAUCCUAAUCAAUGCAUUAUUGAUUGCUUUCACGACUCUAAGUCGUGAUCUAUAAGUCACACAUGAACUUAUUAACUAAACUACAUGCAUUUGUCAAGACUCUAUUUCCCCACCUAUCAUUUUUUUAUUUUUGUUACCAGUGAAAUAUAUUAUAUGUUUUUGAAGAUGUUGAUGGCAUACACUUAUGUUGUUAAUGGCGUACACUUUUACUGCCUAUUUUUGAGAAAUUGACAUCAGGUACAACCUAAACAUUCACAAUGUACUUAGAUCUUGCAUGCUUCAAUCUAUUAUUAAUUUAUUAUCCUUCCUCUGUA